UACGAAGGGAGCUAGCGUUGUUCGGAAUCACUGGGCGUAAAGGGCGCGUAGGCGGCUUUCUAAGUCGGGGGUGAAAUCCUGGAGCUCAACUCCAGAACUGCCUUCGAUACUGGAAAGCUCGAGUCCGGGAGAGGUGAGUGGAACUGCGAGUGUAGAGGUGAAAUUCGUAGAUAUUCGCAAGAACACCAGUGGCGAAGGCGGCUCACUGGCCCGGUACUGACGCUGAGGUGCGAAAGCGUGGGGAGCAAACAGG
rnacentral:rRNA from 1 species